UAAUACGGAGGGUCCGAGCGUUAAUCGGAAUUACUGGGCGUAAAGCGUGCGCAGGCGGUUUGUUAAGCGAGAUGUGAAAGCCCUGGGCUCAACCUAGGAAUCGCAUUUCGAACUGACAAACUAGAGUCUUGUAGAGGGGGGUAGAAUUCCAGGUGUAGCGGUGAAAUGCGUAGAGAUCUGGAGGAAUACCGGUGGCGAAGGCGGCCCCCUGGACAAAGACUGACGCUCAUGCACGAAAGCGUGGGGAGCAAACAGG
rnacentral:rRNA from 1 species